CCUACGGGUGGCAGCAGUCGGGAAUCAUUCACAAUGGGGGAAACCCUGAUGGUGCGACGCCGCGUGGGGGAAUGAAGGUCUUCGGAUUGUAAACUCCUGUCAUGUGGGAGAAAAUUAAAAAGAUCGUACCACCAGAGCCAGAUACUGCUAACUCUGUGCCAGCAGCCGCGGUAAUACAGAGGUCUCAAGCGUUGUUCGGAAUCACUGGGCGUAACGCGUGCGUAGGCUGUUUCGUAAGUCGGGGGUGAAUGGCGCGGGCCCAACCCGCGGACGGCACAUGAUACUGCGAGACUAGAGUAAUGGAGGGGGAGCCGGAAUUCUCGGUGUAGCAGUGAAAUGCGUAGAUAUCGAGAGGAACACUCGUGGCGAAGGCGGGUUGCUGGACAGUAACUGACGCUGAGGCACGAAGGCCAGGGGAGCGAAAGGGAUUAGAUACCCUUGUAGUC
rnacentral:rRNA from 1 species